CUCCCUCGUUGCUGACCCCCGGUUCGAUAGUGCCAAUCAGGCACCACCUCGCCAAGAACCAACUUCGAUGAAGCGACGGGCGGUGUGUGCAAGGAG
rnacentral:rRNA from 1 species